GCGCUCGUUAGGGUCGUUAGCAAGGUGUCUGUAGACUUCAUUGUCAAGAAUGUUGUGCCCAUCUUUGAGAAGAAUAGCUACCUGAGGAUUGCAAGCUCUUUUCCUACAACAAAUAUGAAGGUGGGGCAAAAUGAUCAUACCGACACGAAGUCAACUGCUUGCCUAGCGAUGUACGGCAGCCUGGAGCUGAAAUCAGACAUCAAGGAAGUGGCUGAGCUGCUGGUUGAGAGACUGAGAACACUGAGCCGCAAUCAAGAUAAGCACUUUGUCGCGGUUGAUCUGAGGGUUGAUGUACUCGAGAAGAAAAGUUGCAAAGAGAGUGGAAGCAGUGGCAGUGGGAGGAAAGGUUGUUACAAUGCGCAGGAGAUUGCCGACUUCUUGAAGAAAGUCGGCGUUGGUGGAGAUACCGUUAUAUACCUGACUCAGACUUGGUGGCAUGAGAAUCUCAAAUCGUUGAAGGAGAUUUUCCCCAAGACCUAUACAAAGGAUGACAUAAUGCCUAUGGACAAGAAAGAUGACUUCCUCAAGUCUG
rnacentral:misc_RNA from 1 species